UACGUAGGGGGCAAGCGUUGUCCGGAAUCAUUGGGCGUAAAGAGCGUGUAGGCGGCCUGUAAGUCCGCUGUGAAAGUCCAGGGCUCAACCCUGGAAUGCCGGUGGAAACUGUCAGGCUCGAGUCCGGAAGAGGCGAGUGGAAUUCCUGGUGUAGCGGUGAAAUGCGCAGAUAUCAGGAGGAACACCAAUGGCGAAGGCAGCUCGCUGGGACGGUACUGACGCUGAGACGUGAAGGCGUGGGGAGCAAACAGG
rnacentral:rRNA from 1 species